rnacentral:lncRNA from 1 species
GAAGAAAAGGUGAAGGGGACUAUUGCAGGUUCGAUCCUCACCAAGAAAUUUAGACCUUAGACAAAUUGACUCGGUGAAUUACAACAACGAAGUGACAAAAGUCACUUAAAAGUAGAAAAGAAAAUGUUUUUCCAUAAAUUAUUAUAACCACAACAAUAUUAUCAAUGGGGCCAUUCGAUGGUUCAUGCAGGUGGAAUAAAAAACUGAAGUAGCAUUUCCAGUUGCAAGCUCUUGUGCAUGGCAUUGUAAUCUACCCUACAGCAGAAGGUCUGCUAAACGAGUAUGUAAAACCAUCACAAUCAGAAUCAAUGCCCAGAUGUUCCCAAAGGGCAAAGCCGCAAAGCUAUAGCACCUUUCCAUCCAGUCGUUCCAACG